CGGGAGGCAGCAGUAGKGAAUAUUCCACAAUGAGCGAAAGCUUGAUGGAGCGACACAGCGUGCACGAUGAAGGUCAUUCGGAUUGAAGUGCUGUUAUAAGGGAAGAACAUUUGCAAUAGGAAAUGAUUGCAGACUGACGGUACCUUGUCAGAAAGCGAUGGCUAACUAUGUGCCAGCAGCCGCGGUAAUACAUAGGUCGCAAGCGUUAUCCGGAAUUAUUGGGCGUAAAGCGUUCGUAGGCUGUUUGUUAAGUCUGGAGUUAAAUCCCGGGGCUCAACCCCGGCUCGCUUUGGAUACUAGCAAACUAGAGUUAGAUAGAGGUAAGCGGAAUUCCAUGUGAAGCGGUGAAAUGCGUAGAUAUAUGGAAGAACACCAAAGGCGAAGGCAGCUUACUGGGUCUAUACUGACGCUGAGGGACGAAAGCGUGGGGAGCAAACAGGAUUAGAUACCCUGGUAGUCCACGCCGUAAACGAUGAUCAUUAGUCGGUGGAGAAUCACUGACGCAGCUAACGCAUUAAAUGAUCCGCCUGAGCAGUAUCUGGCAAGAGUUAAACUUAAAGGAAUCGACGGGGACCCGCCCAACCGGUGGAGCAUGUGG
rnacentral:rRNA from 1 species